UGGGGAAUAUUGGACAAUGGGCGAAAGCCUGAUCCAGCGACGCCGCGUGGGUGAAGAAGGCCUGCGGGUUGUAAAGCCCUUUCAGUGGGGAAGAAAAGCCUCGUUCUAACACAACGGGGUCUUGACGUAACCCAUAAAAGAAGCACCGGCUAACUCUGUGCCAGCAGCCGCGGUAAUACAGAGGGUGCGAGCGUUAAUCGGAAUUACUGGGCGUAAAGCGCGCGUAGGCGGCUUCGCAAGUCGGAUGUGAAAUCCCCAGGCUUAACCUGGGAACUGCAUUCGAGACUGCAUUGCUAGAGUAUGGGAGAGGGAAGUGGAAUUUCCGGUGUAGCGGUGAAAUGCGUAGAUAUCGGAAGGAACAUCAGUGGCGAAAGCGACUUCCUGGACCAAUACUGACGCUCAUGUGCGAAAGCGUGGGGAGCAAACAGGAUUAGAUACCCCCGUAGUCCCUGAGCGGGCUGGCAAGGCGCAU
rnacentral:rRNA from 1 species